UACUUAUAAAAUUGUGUGUGGAUCCCCGUUGAACCACUGCCGCCGGUCCUUUCAGUCACAAUGGCCCGUCACUGCUCCCUUCUCGCUUUUUGCCUCGUCGCUGUAGUGGCUCCAGCCGUCCGCGGGGACCUUACCCAAGUACAAGUCGAGGAAUGCUCACCUGGAUCCACGAGCAACGUGGACGCUGUUCGCAUUAGCCACUGUGCCACGCUGCCAUGCACCGUAACGCUGGAGGA